rnacentral:rRNA from 1 species
GAUGAACGCUGGCGGCGUGCCUAAUACAUGCAAGUCGAGCGGAAACACUUCGGGUGUCGAGCGGCGGACGGGUGAGUAACGCGUAAGAAUGUACCCCAGACUGAGGGAUAAGCGUCAGAAAUGGCGUCUAAUACCGCAUAACCUCUACGGAGAAAAGAAUUUAUUCGGUUUGGGAACAGCUUGCGUAGGAUUAGCUAGUUGGUAAGGUAAAGGCUUACCAAGGCUACGAUCCUUAGCUGGUUUGAGAGGAUGAUCAGCCACACUGGAACUGAGACACGGUCCAGACUCCUACGGGAGGCAGCAGUAGGGAAUCUUCCACAAUGGGCGAAAGCCUGAUGGAGCAACGCCGCGUGCAGGAUGAAGGCCUUAGGGUUGUAAACUGCUUUUAUAAGUGAAGAAUUUGACGGUAACUUAUGAAUAAGCCUCGGCUAACUCCG